rnacentral:rRNA from 1 species
GGUGAGGGGUGCACUUAUUAGAUUAGAUACCAAACGGUGCCAGACGUAGUUUGUGGUGACUCUGGAUAACUUUGUAUGAUCGCAGCUGGCCUUGUUGUCGGCGACGGAUCCAUCAAAUAUCUGCCCUAUCAACUUUCGAUGGUAGGAGACAUGCCUACCAUGGUUAUGACGGGUAACGGGGAAUCAGGGUUCGAUUCCGGAGAGGGAGCCUGAGAAACGGCUACCACAUCCAAGGAAGGCAGCAGGCGCGUAAAUUACCCACUCUCUGAACGAGGAGGUAGUGAAGAUAAAUAUCGAUACAGAACUCAAAUGAGGCUCUGUAAUCGAAAUGAGUGCAAUAUAAAUCCUACAACGAGGAUCUAUUGGAGGGCAAGUCUGGUGCCAGCAGCCGCGGUAACUCCCGCUCCAAUAGCGUAUAUUAAAGUUGCUGCAGUUAAAAAGCUCGUAGUUGGAUCUGGGCCAUGUAUUGACUGUCGGUUUCGCCUUAGCAUAUUUCGGUAUGUUGGGGUUGGCCCGUUAACCUCACUCAUGACUUCCCAGCUCCGCCCCCUGUGCUCCCCUCGCAUCCCAAUGAUAUAGGGUGUGUCAUUUAGCGACCUGUCGGCGGAGGCACAAAAAACACAGGGUGCUCCGCUGGUGAUCGUCA